GACGAACGCUGGCGGCGUGCUUAACACAUGCAAGUCGAACGGAAAGGCCCUGCUUUUGUGGGGUGCUCGAGUGGCGAACGGGUGAGUAACACGUGAGUAACCUGCCCUUGACUUUGAGAUAACUUCAGGAAACUGGGGCUAAUACCGGAUAGGAGCUCCUGCUGCAUGUUGGGGGUUGGAAAGUUUCGGCGGUUGGGGAUGGACUCGCGGCUUAGCAGUUUGUUGGUGGGGUAGUGGCUUACCAAGGCUUUGACGGGUGGCCGGCCUGAGUGGGUGACCGGCCACAUUGGGACUGAGAUACGGCCCAGACUCCUACGGGAGGCAGCAGUGGGGAAUAUUGCACAAUGGGCGGAAGCCUGAUGCAGCAACGCCGCGUGCGGGAUGACGGCCUUCGGGUUGUAAACCGCUUUCGCCUGUGACGAAGCGUGAGUGACGGUAAUGGGUAAAGAAGCACCGGCUAACUACGUG
rnacentral:rRNA from 1 species